rnacentral:tRNA from 1 species
GUAUACUGGUUAGUACAUUGCGUUGUGGCCGCAAUAACCCAGGUUCGAAUCCUGG